CAAGAGGAGAGGGGGCGGGGCAGGGGAGCGAGCGAUACCCCGCCCACCGGGCGUGUCCCUGGCCCGGCCCCUCCCCCUGCCGCCUGGAGGACUCCGCGCAGCGCGGAGCAGGAGCUGCGCCGAGCCCAGCGAGGAAAGAGCGCCGCGCAGCCCCGCCGCAGCUUGGCCCGGGGCUUGCAGGGACCUAGCCGGAGCUGACCUGUGGCAGACCAUCAGGUGGGGAAAAUGAAGCUCAGAACCAGCAAGCAUAGUACUUAGGAGGUGUAGCCCUAAGGUACUAGUACUCCGCUAACAAAGUCAGGAGAUUUGAACUCAUGACUGCUCUCAGGCCAAUUUCACACCUUGUUCUCCAUCCAUGCUGCCUCUGGAACUAAAGAGGGUGACCUUCAACCGCAAAGCUGCUGUCCACGUGGACUGGGGCUCAGAUCGUGCGCCCAUCCGCCAGGACCCCCACAUCCAAACUCCGAGACAUGGCGACCAAUGGCAGCAAGGUGGCGCCGGGGGCAGAUCUCCACAGAAGUCAGUGAGGACCCCCUUGGCCAAGCGACAAGCCCAAAACCCUGGUGGUCAAGGUGCAGAAGAAGGCCGGGGACCUUCCCGAUCGAGAUACAUGGAAGGGCCGCUUCGACUUCCUCAUGUCCUGUGUGGGCCUACGCCAUUGGCCUGGGCAAUGUCCGGGAGGUUCCCCUACCUCUGUGGGAAGAAUGGCGGGGGGGCCUUCCUGAUCCCCUACUUCCUGGCGCUCAUCUUUGCGGGGUCCCGCUCUUUCAUGCUGGAGUGCUCCCCUGGGCCAGUACACGUCCAUCGGGGGGCUUGGGUGUGUGGAAGCUGGCCCCCCCAUGUUCAAGG
rnacentral:lncRNA from 1 species